rnacentral:rRNA from 1 species
GACGAACGCUGGCGGCGUGCUUAACACAUGCAAGUCGAACGAAGUGGCGAACGGGUGAGUAACGCGUAAUCAACCUGCCCUUCAGAGGGGGACAACAGUUGGAAACGACUGCUAAUACCGCAUACUGAAGGAGGGGAUUGCGUCUGAUUCGCUAGUUGGAGGGGGACCGGCCAACCAAGGCGAUGAUCCGUAGCCUGUCUGAGAGGAUGGACGGCCACAUUGGAAGUGAGGCACAGUCCAAGCUCCUACGGGAGGCAGCAGUAGGGGAUAUUGCGCAAUGGGGGAAACCCUGACGCAGCAACGCCGCGUGGAGGAUGACACUUUUCGGAGCGUAAACUCCUUUUGUUAGGGAAGCGGUACCUAACGAAUAAGCACCGGCUAACUCCGUGACAGCAGCCGCGGUAAUAC